GGCAAGGCAGAUUUCUUAGUUUUCCGGGCACUAAAUCAGCAGGUUUUCUUGGACAACUACAAGAAAAGAAGCUUGUGAGUCAUGUGGAGUUUCAGCUGUUACUUAGUUUUGUUAAUGUGUUUAUUCGACUGUCUAUAUUGUACCCGCCUUUCAUUGGCUAGUUUCUCCUUCAAAUAAGAUCUCUAGUUUUUGCCAGCAA